UCCUGGAGUGUCUAUGAUGAUUGCUGCAGUUAAAGAGUUCGUAGUCGGACUGCGUGACUGGCGUGAAAGACCCUUUUAUUCAUUCAAGGGGGGCGCACGCGGAAAAGCAGGGAAUAAGGAGCGGCCGGGGCACAGGUUAUUAAGCGACGAGAGGUGAAAUUUGAUGACUCGCUUAGGAGCAACAGAGGCGAAACGGCUGUGCAGGGGCGAUUCCGAUGAUAAAGGACGUAGGCUAGAGGAUCGAAGAUGAUUAGAGACCGUUGUAGUUCUAGCAGUAAACGAUGCCGAUGCCGUGGGGCAGUUCUUAGACUGCGCCGCGGAAGAGAAAUUGAGUAGGGCCCUGGGGAGAGUACACGCGCARVRGUAAAUUUAAAGGAAAUUGACGGAAGAACACCACAAGGAGUGGAGUGUGCGGCUUAAUUUGACUCAACGCGGGACAGCUUACCAGGCCCGACGACCGCACGAGUGUGGUACACGAUAGGUCGGAGAGUGGUGCAUGGCCGUUAACGACAAGUGGGGUGACCUUUGGGUUAAGUCCGGGAAGUUGUGAGACCCCUGCUGGCAGUGCCAGGACAGGUGCUCAAAGCACAGGAAGGAAGGGUCAAGAACAGUCAGUGAUGCCCUUAGAUGGUCUGGGCUGCACGCGCACUACAGUGGUCACACGAGUUUAUAGAUAGAAGAAAUGGUGAUCGAGAGGAAAUGAGCUUUGCAAGAGGCUCAGGAACGAGGAAUUGCUAGUAAUCGCGGGCUCAUUAAGACGCGAUGAAUACGUCCCUGUUCUUUGUACACACCGCCCGUCGUUAUCGAAGAUGGAGUCAGGCGCGAACAAGCGAGAGCGAGUGAGUGCAGGGUUCUAGAUGUGAUACAAGUCGUAACAAGGUAGCUGUAGGAGAACCUUUAGCUGG
rnacentral:rRNA from 1 species